GGAGAGGUGCCAGAGUGGCCGAAUGGGCCGGUCUCGAAAACCGGUAGGCCCGCAAGGGUCUCGGGGGUUCGAAUCCCCCCCUCUCCG
rnacentral:tRNA from 1 species